rnacentral:tmRNA from 2 species
GGGGCUGAUUCUGGAUUCGACGGGAUUUGCGAAACCCAAGGUGCAUGCCGAGGGGCGGUUGGCCUCGUAAAAAGCCGCAAAAAAUAGUCGCAAACGACGAAAACUACGCUUUAGCAGCUUAAUAACCUGCUUAGAGCCCUCUCUCCCUAGCCUCCGCUCUUAGGACGGGGAUCAAGAGAGGUCAAACCCAAAAGAGAUCGCGUGGAAGCCCUGCCUGGGGUUGAAGCGUUAAAACUUAAUCAGGCUAGUUUGUUAGUGGCGUGUCCGUCCGCAGCUGGCAAGCGAAUGUAAAGACUGACUAAGCAUGUAGUACCGAGGAUGUAGGAAUUUCGGACGCGGGUUCAACUCCCGCCAGCUCCAUCA